rnacentral:rRNA from 1 species
UCGAGAAUAUUCCACAAUGGGCGAAAGCCUGAUGGAGCGACGCCGCGUGCAGGAUGAAGGCCCUUGGGUUGUAAACUGCUUUUUUAAGGGAAGAAUCCGCCAACCGGCGGAUUGACGGUACCUUAAGAAUAAGAGGUUACUAACUCUGUGCCAGCAGUAGCGGUAAUACAGAGACCUCAAGCGUUAUCCGGAUUUAUUGGGCGUAAAGCGCAUGUAGGCGGAUAUGCUAGUCAGAUGUCAAAUCUUCGAGCUCAACUCGGAAACUGCAUUUGAAACGGCAUAUCUUGAGAUAGUGAGAAACUGAUGGAACAUAUGGUGUAGCAGUGAAAUGCGUUGAUAUCAUAUGGAACACCAAAGGCGAAAGCAUUCAGUUAGCACUAUUCUGACGCUCAGAUGCGAAAGCGUGGGUAGCGAAUGGG